GAACUCUCUUCCGAACCCUAGGAUUCUCGUUGGCUUUCUACUCCCCAAUUUCAUCACCAAAAUUUUCUCCCACCAAAAGAUUCACAAACCACAGCUAAAUUCUGUGGAUCGUACUCCCAAUUCAAUCAUGACGGAUUACGACAGCAGGUACGAAGGUAAUGGGGAAGAUGCGGACAACUACGGCGAUGGUUUUUCUCCUCAAGCCCGUGCUGCCAGCCACGGUGGCCACGAUACUCACACUGAUUCCAAAUCUCAGCAUGGUUCUAGGGAUUAUGAAAGAGAGUCUUCAAAAAGUCGAGAAAAAGAAAGAGAUAAGGGGCGUGAUAGGGAGAGGGAGAGGGAUCGAGACCGAGGUCGAGAUAGGGAUAGAGAGAAAAGCAAGGAUGGGGAAAGAGAUCGGGAGAAGGAUAGAGAUAGAGAUAGGGAUCGCGACAAAGACCGUGAUAGGGAUCGUGACCGCCAUCAUAGAGACCGCCACAGGGAUCGAGGUGAGAGGAGGGAAGGGGGCAGAGGUAGAGAUGAUGAUGAUUACUACAGGGGUAGAGACUAUGACAGACGGAGAGAUUAUGAUAAAGAACGAGAAGACAGGCACAGACGUAGGUCUCGUUCUCGCUCAAAGGGAAUACAUGAGCAUAGGUCAAGGUCCCCUUCUCCAACGCGGUCAAGAUCACGCUCCAAAAGCAAACGAAUUAGUGGUUUUGACAUGGCUCCUCCAACAACUGCAAUAUUGUCUGGUGCAACUGCUGCUGCAGGCAAUGUUGGACUACUUGCCCCUCUGUGCUGACAAUGGGCGUGAGCUGACUUCUGUAGCUUUUAUGUGCAAGAAGGACCAAUGCACCGGUCAGAUGGAUCUUGUUCGUCUUCAUCUGGAAACUUAUUCCUUUUUGGCAGGCCAGAUUCCUGGGACAACUCCAGCUAUUCCCGGAAUGUUUCCUACCAUGUUUCCACUGGCGACCGGUCAGCCCUUUGGGGCACUUCCUGUUAUGCCUGUUCAGGCAAUGACACAGCAGGCUACCAGACAUGCACGACGUGUUUAUGUGGGCGGGCUACCACCAACAGCCAACGAACAGUCUGUUGCCACAUUUUUCAGUCAGGUUAUGGCAGCAAUAGGAGGAAAUACCGCUGGUCCUGGAGAUGCGGUUGUCAAUGUAUACAUUAAUCAUGAGAAAAAGUUUGCUUUUGUGGAGAUGAGAUCUGUUGAGGAAGCCAGUAAUGCAAUGGCAUUGGAUGGGAUCAUCUUUGAGGGAGCACCUGUAAAGGUGCGAAGACCUAGUGAUUACAAUCCUUCUCUUGCUGCAACGCUUGGUCCUAGCCAGCCAAACCCAAAUCUGAACCUAGCUGCUGUUGGUCUAACUCCAGGUUCAGCUGGUGGUCUUGAGGGUCCAGACCGCAUUUUUGUGGGUGGACUUCCCUAUUACUUCACAGAAGCUCAGGUGAGGGAGUUGCUGGAGUCUUUUGGGCCCCUACGAGGUUUUGAUCUCGUGAAAGACAGAGAGACUGGAAAUUCAAAAGGAUAUGCAUUUUGUGUUUACCAAGAUCUUUCAGUCACAGACAUAGCCUGUGCAGCACUCAAUGGUAUUAAAAUGGGUGAUAAGACGCUCACUGUUCGGCGUGCGAAUCAAGGAGCCAAUCAACCCAAACCAGAACAAGAAAGUGUUCUUUUACAUGCACAGCAGCAAAUUGCUUUACAGAAGCUUAUGCUACAGCCUGGGGCUGUAUCCACCAAGGUUCUCUGUCUUACACAAGUUGUGACCCCUGAAGAGCUUAUUAAUGAUGAAGACUAUGAAGAUAUCAUGGAAGACAUGCGAGGGGAAGGCGGAAAAUUUGCCUUUUCUUGUCCUCACAUUCUGGUAGAAAGAAUCAGACAAAUAACUUACAGACAGAAGCCUCCAUAACCUUCUUUCUUUAUACACCCGCCCAAUUUGUACUUUACUUGAUUCUGCAAAUUUGUGGUUUCAAGUGGUUUUUAUUGUCUUUUUGCAGGUACAUUAGUGAAUGUCGUUAUCCCGCGUCCAAGACCCAAUGAAGCAGCACCUGGAGUUGGAAAGGUCUUUUUGGAGUAUGCAGACAUUGAUAGUGCAACGAAAGCUCGAGCUGGUUUGAAUGGAAGAAAAUUUGGAGGGAACCAAGUGAUGGCUGUAUUCUAUCCUGAGAACAAGUUUGCCCAAGGGGAGUAUGAUGCCUAAACAUCAUCACAUUCUACAGUGAUUGGACAAAUUGUGUCGUUGGAAGAAAGAAGAGAAUAUUUAGUUUUGUUUUAAAUGUGGGUAAGUUUGUGUGCCUAAAUCUGGAACUCAAAUAGCCAAGUAAGUAAUGCAAGUGACCUUAGAUCCCAGCUAGAUUGUUAGAUUUCCUAUCAUUUUGGAAAAGUAAUGGACAGCUUCAUCAAACUCUCUUCUCUCUACUUUUAAUUUGUAGAAGCAGAUUAUUAUUAUUAUUAUUAUUAUUAUUAAUCUCUCCAA